rnacentral:rRNA from 1 species
GCUGGUUAAACUUUGUUCGUGUCCCCAAGGGAAUUUGCCAAUCCGCUCCGCCCGCGCUUCAAAACCCUAGCCGCCAGCCCUGCUCGUCCCCUCCUCCCCGCUCCCUCCAUCCUCUCACAUGUCGCCGCCCCUCUUCUCCCCGCUCGCCUCGGCCGCCUCCUCUCCUCCGCCGUGUCGUCGGCCCCCUCCCUCCUCCUACCUCCUCCUCCCUCCUCUCAGUCCCGUGCCAGCCGCCGCCCAAACCCUAGCCCCCGUUUCCCUCGAUCCCCACAGUAACCGCAUCCAUAGCCACCCGCUCCUUCUCACAGCCGCCGCACCAUUCCUCCCUUCCGCCCCCUCCUCCUUCCCGGAUCCCCACCACGGCGCCGACCUGCAGGCAAAGGGCGACAAAGAGUGGCAGACGAGGACAACGAGGGAGAGAAAGAAGGGAGAUAAAAAGGAGGCCGGCGGGCGGCGGCGAGGCCCAGCGACUAGCGCCUCUCCGCCUCAAGCCCCGGCAUCACCGCCACCAGAUCCACCUCGCAACCUCUCUUCCUACCCUGUCUGACUGUUGUGUGGUCGCGUCAGGCCCAUGCCGGCGCCACCGCCACCACCGCAGCCGCCGCCGCUGGAUGGCUCCGUCGGUCCCUCCCGCUCCAGAUUGAAAACUGAGAGAGCGACGGGAGGGAAGAAGGGGGUCGGGGGAGGGGAGAGCACGGGAGAGAAGGCGAGCUCGCGGCUGACCGCAGCGUGCAAGGCGGACGGGUGAGAAAAGGGGCGCCGCGAGGAGUGGAGUAAGCUAAAUACCUGACUGGUUGGAUCGUUUUUGGGUUCUUUACAGAUUUGCCGACUUCAAAUGGGUAUCUCAUAGUUGAAGCAAAUGGUGGUCUGAAUCAACAACGUCUUUCUAUCUGCGAUGCAGUUGCUGUGGCCAGCUUGCUUAAUGCAACUCUUGUGAUCCCAAUAUUUCAUUUGAAUAGCGUUUGGCGCGAUCCUAGCAAAUUUAGUGAUAUUUUUUAUGAAGAUCGUUUUAUUGGGACACUCAGACAACAUGUAAGAGUUGUGAAGGAACUCCCAAAAGAUGUCCUGCUGCGUUUCAAUCAUAAUAUAAGCAGCAUACCAAAUAUGCAAACUAAAGCCUACUCAUCCCGAGACCAUUAUGUUCAGAAGGUGCUUCCGAAUGGAGUUAGGGGUUGUGCGCAUCGCCCCAUUCUCGAAUAGAUUGGCUCAGUCAGUUCCAUCGAAUAUCCAGGCCUUGAGGUGUUUGGUAAACUACGAGGCUCUACGGUUUGUCGAACCAAUAAGGGUUCUUGCAGACUAAUAUGGUUGUUCGAAUGAUGAAAAAGAGUUCUUUGGCUGGUGGGAAAUAUGUCUCGGUGCAUCUCCGUUUCAAAGAGGAUAUGGUGGCUGGAAGGAGAAAAUUGAAAUGGAAAAUGCCCGUGAAAGGAGCUGGAGAGGGAAGUUUCACUGACCUGGUCGAGUUAUCAAUCCCGAGGCAAACAGAAGGGAUGGGAAAUGCCCACUUACUCCUCUAGAGGAUAGGAAUUUUUUCACUGGUUAAAGCACUUGUGUGGAUAUAUGUACACCCAAUGAUGCAUUCGUAUUUCAGGACAUUAAUUAACAUCACAAUAGGCCUGUUAUACUAGAAUUGAUGUUUGUUGCUUAGUUUGUGAUGCUUCAGGUCAAUAAUAAUAACCUUUAAGUUCAGUGCCAUCAGUUGCGUCUCUUUAGUAGCAUUCAGAACAAAUUUAGAAGCUUUCAAAUAUGUAAAUAUACUCACUAGAGCUAAUAUGUUAACUGACUGAAUUUGAGCAGGUUGGUAUGAUGCUGCGAGGCAUGGGGUUUGACAAUACAACCUUCCUCUAUGUUGCCUCCGGUAAAAUAUACAAUGCUGCAAAAUACAUGGGUCCCCUUCGCCAGAUGUUCCCUCUUUUACAAACCAAGGACACUCUUGCAUUGUCUGAAGAGCUUGCUGAGUUUGAGGGGUACUCUUCUCGGUUAGCAGCAUUAGAUUACACCAUCUGUGUUCAGAGCGAAGUGUUUGUGACCACUCAAGGGGGGAACUUCCCUCACUUUUUGAUGGGACACAGGUGUUACCUGUUAGGAGGGAAUGCAAAGACAAUAAAACCCGACAAACGGAAGUUGGUCUUAUCUUUUGAUGACCCAAAUAUCAGAUGGAAUCGAUUCAACCACCACAUGCUAGAAAUACUGCACCAUAGUGACAUAAGGGGCAUCACAUUCAGGAAACCUAAUGAUUCCAUAUACACCUUCCCAAUGCCUGAUUGCAUGUGCCAACAAGAUGGAAUAUGAUCUAGGCGUUAGCAUACAUAACUGAGGGAUGCAUAUCCUCUGCCUUUGUGCAACAAAGGCACCAAAGGCAUGGCAUUGUUGACUGCAUGAUCAGGAUUUGAUGGUCAUGAUGAAAACUGGAGUGAAAUAAAGCAUUUGGUGCUUCUCAGGAGAUUCUGAAACCCUCUGGCAUACCCCAAAUCGUUCGAUUCUGGAUAUAAUGGUCAAAAGGUGCCUAAUGACAAUGAAUUCCGUAGGAUCAGAAAUUGAGAGGAUGCGAGGUAUUUUGUAAAGUUAGUAAUCUGUAGGUAGUCCACCAUAUAGCAAUCUCCAUUUGUUCAAUCUGUCUGUAGGUUGUAAAGAGAAAAGAGCUACGAGAUUGGGUUGUAGAUAUGAGUACAACCUGAGUGCCUCGAUGUAUAUUCGAAAAACAAGGGCUAACAACAACAAAGAAAGGAAGUAUAUCAUUACUCAUCAGUGCUUGUUCUCGCAUUUCAUCUUGCCUUUGACAAUUCAUAUUUAUGAGCAUGUUCUUACAGUUCAGACCUAACGUUCUUUUUUCUUUCCUUGGGCACUUCCUCAAGAAUCUUGUUGAGGUGUCUGUUUCCCCUCUUUGUGUCAUGAAUGAUUGUGAUGGCUGCAGGGUCUUCGCAAGGAGUUGAAGGCAUAUAAAAACCAUGGAUCCUUUGCUCCCCAGGCCGCAAAAUUAUCACAGUGAUGUCUACGACCUCCUCCUAGAUGUAUUAAUCUCAAUCUCAUGUUUGGUUUUCUUCCCUUUUCUCUUCUAAUGAUGUAAUUUCUUUUACUAAGAUAACACCAUGUUUGUUGUAAUGCCUUAUUUGAUGUAGGAUCCCUUUUCUACUUUGAAUGAUUUUACUGUAUAUAUUUCUUAUUUAGUUUAGUUCAUCAUUCAGAGACGGUGGAAUAUUUUUGUCCUUCACAGGUUAAAUGAGCAUUGCGUAGUCCUUU